AACGAACGCUGGCGGCAUGCCUAACACAUGCAAGUCGAACGAGACCUUCGGGUCUAGUGGCGCACGGGUGCGUAACGCGUGGGAACCUGCCCUUAGGUUCGGAAUAACUCCCCGAAAGGGGUGCUAAUACCGGAUAAUGUCUUCGGACCAAAGAUUUAUCACCUUUGGAUGGGCCCGCGUUGGAUUAGCUAGUUGGUAGGGUAAAAUCCUACCAAGGCGACGAUCCAUAGCUGGUCUGAGAGGAUGAUCAGCCACACUGGGACUGAGACACGGCCCAGACUCCUACGGGAGGCAGCAGUGGGGAAUAUUGGACAAUGGGCGAAAGCCUGAUCCAGCAAUGCCGCGUGAGUGAUGAAGGCCUUAGGGUUGUAAAGCUCUUUUACCCGGGAUGAUAAUGACAGUACCGGGAGAAUAAGCUCCGGCUAACUCCGUG
rnacentral:rRNA from 1 species